rnacentral:lncRNA from 1 species
UUUGGAUAAGAAUUCAGAAUCAUGUAAUAGACUAUCAAAAUUAGUUUCUAAUUCUUCAUAAGGAUGAGUUUUAUCAAAGAGAAAUACCUCAUCAUUUUCUGAUUCUGCCAUUAGACAGAUGUUGGCUUCUUCUUCUUCUUCUUUAUUUGUUUCAAAUUCAUCAUCAUCAUCCCAGGUAGCUAACAUGGAUUUUUUCUUGAAGGAAAAAUUUCUGGGUGAUUUGUUUAAGGGACAUUCUGAUUUGUAAUGUCCAAGUUUGUUGCAACCAA